AUUCACUAUUUGAUCAUAGAAAAAACACGAAGAUGGAGAUAAGAAAAAGAAAAAGAAAGAGAAACGGAAAAAGAAGGUAAAUAUUAAAGUGGGGUUGUGUGCUAAUCAUCUUUAUACUUGCAACUGAGAGCCAAAUCGAUUACAACCGUCCGGAAAGUAUGUCAGUUUGACUGGAGAGCCUCGUUUUCUUGUGCGUGACAUACUUUCCUGAAGCAUGUAUUACAAAGUUCGCAGCUCAACCUGAUCGAGUCUGAGUCCGCCUCUGGCACCAACUAAUGGCUCGUAUCUGAUCACGGAGCAACGGCUGCGAUAGGAGGGUUAGUUUGGAGCUUACCCCCUCCCACAACAGUCAACUUUCGGAAUUUCAGGAAACCAUCUCACUGAGCUAGCCCACGACUUUCGGUUGAGCGUUGACUGUGAGAAAAGCAUUGAGACAUAACCCGGAAAGCCGGAACUGGGGGGCAGAAAGGGCAGCUGCCCCUCUUGCCCUUUACCAGGAGGGGCAAGGGGGCGAAGGUGGCCUUUUGAUCAAAGGAAAAUAUUUGUUAUUAAUAGAAAGAAUUCGUUCUUGUUACUAAUAGAACUAUAUAAACUAUAUGAUAUAACAAACUUUUGCGGGAAACUGUAAGAAAUGUAUGGAAAUUAAGUUUAUAUGAUUCCAGGGUUGUUCCAAUUUGCUGUUAACGUGCGUGUCACCUCAUAUUUUUCGCAAAGACCUUUGAAAAAAAUUUGGCCGAGAAGGAGGGCUGUAACUGUAAAGCGACAACAAUAUAUAAAAAGUGAAAUUACUUGAAAGAACUUGAUUUAAACGAGCCUCUAUGUAGCUCAAAUUGCGCGUACGACAACAGUCAUUUUGGGCAUUUUUGGCUGAAUUCUUUUGUGCCAGAAAUGCAGUCAUUGAGCUUCAAAAAUAUCAAAAUCCUCUGGGGGAGAACCGCAGACCUCCCUAUUUUUUACAAAUCAGAAACGUGAUUAUGGCAGCGUUAAACUCCAGAUGUUUCGUAAACGUCCUUUAAUAUAUAUCAAUUCAAAAGUGCCCUUCGACGAAAGUCUGCCCCCUUUGCCCUCUCUUCGUUCCGGCAUCCUUGGACAUAACGGUUUUCUCUCACCGAACGACAAAAAGUUUAAGAAUACUUUGUUUUUCUUCAAGGACAAAACAGAUACAGUGACGUAACGAAGUCGAAGGACAACUAAUUUAAUAUACGGAGACAAAUAGCGGAAGCUAUACUAUAUGUUCCGUUUCAGUCAACGGCACGAUUUCUAUAACAGACAGAUAUAUCAUCAGUCUGACGGGUCACGUGUUUGCAGGAUGUUAGCUACAGUCAAAAACUCGAUGUUAUACGCGCCGUCUUCCCAAUAACCUCGUCGUAGCAGGAAAUAUUAGAGACCUUACGAUGUAGGACAGCAACGUAACGACAACAGCCAGAAUAAAAUCAUUCAAACAAAAAAUUGUAAACUAUUAUUGAUCAUAUCAAUUUAAUACCAUUUGGUUAACUUGAAAUAGUGGCUUUAUUGUUGAGGAAGUUCUAUUAUAAAAUAACAUGUAUAUAACGCGUGCUCUGAUUGGUCGAAACCCCGUGUUUGGAUAAAUUUAAAGUGCCUUCGCGGGAAUUUUAAACUUUGUUGUUAUUUUAUAAAACAAUUACUUUAUGGUUUCCGUGUUUGGAUAGCCUGAUCCAAACACUUGGGAAAGUUGCUCGAGCUUUUCUUAACUCUCGCAACAUUCCCACGUGUUUGGAUCAGGCCAUCCAAACACGGAAACCAUAAAGUAAUUGUAUAUACUGUAAUAUACUGAGCUAAUUUGCUAUCACUUCUCGUAUCUUGAAAUGCAGACGUUUUAUCCAAGACGUAAAAUUCUGUAGUUUUCUGUUGUAAGCAGACCGUGGACGACGUCUCAAACUCCCGUGGGAUAUUAAUUAUUCAAUUAUUUUCUUAAAUAUUAUGAAUCUCAUUGUGUGAAUAGCCGUCGUCGUCACGUUGCCGUCAUCGUAAGGUCUCUAAUGUUUUUGUUUCUGGGAUCCUAUGGCUAUGUAAUGUUCUGCCGAGCUCACUAAAAUUCUUCCUAAUAAAUUAUUUUCUGUGCCUGUUAGCAUCAUAUGCAAUGGCCCCGAAUUUUUUUGCCAGCUAACUGAGCUAUGCCAGGUCUGGGAUCCAAGAUGGCAAGAUCAACCAUUAUUUCCUGCUAUGACCGUCGUUUACCUAACUGAGCUAUGCCAAGUCUGGUAUCCUAGAUGCCAAGAUCGGAGGAUCCACCAUUAUUUCCUGCUAUGAGCGUCGUCUACCUAGCAGUUUCCCAAUUUAGUUCGGCCAAAAAUAACAUUUAAUAUUGCUCAACUUUGAAACUUUACUCAAGAAGAAUUGGGGACCAGAUCAGUUUUGCGAGGAUGCCAUCAUCUAGCUUAAAAUGUACUUGUAUUUUUUUACGCAAGACAAUAUCUGUGAAAAGGUUUCUUUUGGCUCAGCCAAUCAACAUCUUGCCUAGCUGAAGCCUUGUCCUGACUACGACGCUGCAUAAGCAUAAGCACAACAUUUGAAAUAGCAGCAUUUUCACAGCUCUGGCUGGUGACUUUUGAAUUAGAGUUUUUCUCAGUAUUCUAUUGAUCUGUAUCAUGAAUUUAUAGGUUUCUAAUUACGUGUAAGAAGAUUUUGCUAGAUAAGAAAAGGUCGCGUUAAACAUUUUGAAUCGAAUUUUUGUGAGCGAUGAAGCCAUAAGUUAAAACUUAUCGUAUGAUGAAAAUCAAUGCGCAGCAUAUGCAUAAAGGAGCCAUGAACGAAACGUUAUUUCUUGAUAAAUAUUUUAAAAUUUAUUUUGUGACCGCUUAUUUACCUACAUUAUGCAUUGAUUUUCAAAUUUGUAAAUUUGAUGUUUAAAAAGACUAUUUUCAUGCACACUUUGUAAUCUUUCUGUCAAUCUUGGUUGGAAAAUCGAAAUUUGAUCUUUGUCCUUGGUAUUAAAGUGCAUAUGACUCGAAAAUUGACUGUGUUAUUCUUAGUCUAAUUUGAAAGAUCAUUGAAAACUGUAGAGUAACUUCUUUGACACAUUUUUAUUUUCUUGCUUCGUUUUGGAGAUAUUUCAUUUUGCAUGAUAUGCAAAGGACCAACUUUCUUACGUCACAUAUGCAUAUAAUGACGUACUUUAAAAUGUUAUAUAAUUUUGUCACUAUCAAAUAAAUUCGCUCAAAAUGAAUGAGCACGAUAUUUGUUCACAACAACAACAAACACCCUUGUAGGUUUUCUACUGAUUGUGUUUAGUCGUAUUAAAGAUAUACAGCUUUUAGGGAUAAAUCAUUAUGCAUAUGACGUAGGAAGUUGGUGCUUCAUCUUGCACAACGAGGACACAGUGAGGACAACAUAAACAUAGGCUGUUUUCCUCUUCAACCGUAUUGUAACGUAGUAUUUUCUUUUGUGUCGAAGUCAUUAGUUCCACUUCAGUACGAUACAGUUGAAGUAAGUGGAAAACGGUCUUAAGAACAUCAAAGGCAAAGCGUUCCGCUUGCUUGUGCUUACAUCGUAGUAAGGACCAGGCUUUCCGAAUUUGUUUUCUGGCUAACAUCCUGGUAUGAAGUAUGAAGGUGUACAGUAACCUGUAACUAAGUAGAACUGGUGUUUGUUUUGAAUCUCAUUCACUGAGAACGAAAACGUUCUAUAUUAUUUCUUAAGUUAAUUAGACUAAUAUGUAUCUAGUAAUUUAUAUGUACAUAUAUUUUAAAUGCAUUCAUUUAGUUCAGCCUGGUUCACAUAUACCCUGCGCUCGCUGAAUUAACUCGUAAAUAAUGCACUUUAAACGAGUAAGAUGUAAAAUGUAUGAAGUAAAUCUUGAUGUGAAUACGAUAUCUUACACAGGGGCG
rnacentral:lncRNA from 1 species